UACAGACUUGUGCUGCAGGGGUGGAAAUAACUUUAAAAUUGCUAGUGUACUCAGGUACAGUGCCACAUGCAAAAUCACUUGCCCGAUCAUUUUUCCACUAUACCGGCCGUUUUCUUGUUGAUUUUUUAAAUAAAAAACAUGAUUAAUAUUGGAAAGUCAACUUGACACCGGUACAGCAUGAUAUACAAAAUUAC